rnacentral:lncRNA from 1 species
UAUCCCUUGGGAUGGAGAAAGUAUAAUUGUCCCUAUUUUUUUAAAAGGUGACAAACAGGAUCCCAGCAACUAUUAUUCUAUACUAAAGGCGUUGUCUUGAGAAGUAAAUUUUACAAGGUGAGUAACUGUUUUCCCAAUUAAAGAUUUGGUUUUGGAUCCUCUAUUUUUGUCAUCUGUUUUAAUAGGGAAAAGUUAAGUAUGGUAAAUUGCACUGAAAUCAAUACAUUUAAUGUUUGU